rnacentral:lncRNA from 1 species
GACAGCUUGACCAGAGGGUGCCUUGAAAAUAGCGAAGCCUGUGGUUCUCAAAGUGUGGUCUCUAGAUCAUGAGCAUCACCGGGGAACUUGCUGGAAGGCAAAGGAAGCAAUUCUGUGGGACUAUCACCUGGGGGCAGCACAGGACCACUGGUCCUGGCUUCUCAUGGGUAGCUGUGGGAAGAACUUCUUGGCCUGCUUUGCCGCUGAAGGAGAGCACCAUUCCCUGGGGGCCAUUGGUGGGAUGUGAAGGCCUGGAAGCUGCUCUCAGAGCCCAAGUCCUCGUGGCCUUCAGGAGAGAAGCCAGGGCUCCCUGUCCCUAUUCUUCAUUCAGAAAGCUCAGGCUCCCAGCCAGGGGCCUCCCGACUGCUGACUGCUACCGCUCUCACCUGCUACCCUGUAGGAGCCCCCUGGGAGCAUGGCAGCUGUUGCUGGACAGGACAGUGCGAUGACCUGUCUGGGCUCCAGCACCUCUCUGCUUUGGGACGGCAGGGGUCUAACAUCCUGAGUUGGGAGUAAAACCAGCAAAACCUGGGUUAUUUUCACCCUAAACAUAUCCAGAGGCCUGGGGGUGACAGAGAAAAGGAAUUUAGUUGAACAAAAAUAAAAAAGAUCAGACAGAAAUAUAGGAAAACAUUUAGAGUCUCUUUUUCCCUGGGAUCGGGGCUUCUGGGUGCUGUCUAGUCAUGGCUUUGCUUUUAUUUGCAUUUAGACUUUCUAAAACCAG